rnacentral:lncRNA from 1 species
UGAUCUCACAAUGCCUUUACUUAUUUCCCUCAAAUGUCCCCAUCAUCUUCAAAAUUGUUUCAUUUCUUCCUGACUAAGCUGACUUUUAAAGAACAGGCUGAGAAUUAUGAUGUGCAUGUCAUAUCACUAGAACCAUCAUGAAAAGAACUGUAAAAGGAGAAGAGAACUAAAAAUGACUAAAAAUAACAAAAACAGAAAAUUGCAUUAGAUAGAUGGUGAAAGGGUUUGAACAACAAGACAAGCAAACUAAAUUGGGGUUACAACCCUGGAACAAACCUAAACAACACUAAACGAGCUGCUACGACUAAACGAACUAGGCAAAAUAAAAGGAUAUAACGGUUUGAGUCACAAGAUAGUAUCCAGAUUACAACCCUGAAAUAACCUGGACAACAGAAAUGACAACAAAAUAAACCACCAAAACUCCUCCCUAGCUAACCAAGAAAAGAGCGUCUUUCCAAUCAUCAAACUCAACAUCUUAGCCACUGACUUCUGUAUCAUCAAUACUAGGACCUUCACAAGUCUCCAUCACAUUGUUCUUAACAGACUGCCUUUGGGUUCCCUUUUCCUGCUCAUUCUUAGGAUCAACCUCUGAUAGUGCUGAAAGCUUUGUAGUGCAUGGACCUCCGAGGAUCCCAGAAGAACUCUCACAUUCCUUUUCAAAAUAAAUCAUACCCACCAUAUGUGUCUCAUUAUGCACAGGUGACAGACUUUGGCUAGUAUCUGCUGUAUCUAGAUUUUGCACGAUAAUAUCGCUUGCAUCAAUAAGCUUCUAAAUCACGUUCUUCAGAUUCCAACACUUCUCUAUGUCAUGCCCCGGGGCAUCUGAGCAGUAUGCACACCUCUGAGAAAAAUCAAACUUCUUUGGAAGAGGGUUUGGCAUUUUUAUCUGGAUAGGCUUCAACAUGUCCAAUUUCCUUAGCCUCUGGAACAGACUGGCAUAUGACUCUCCCAAUGGAGUGAAGGUUUUCUUCUUCCGCAACCUCUCAUUCUUAAAUGCUUGAUUAGGCCGGAAACCUGAUCUAGGGGGGUUUCGGUAGGCUCGUAGGGAUGGAUAGGCAUUUUGUGGAGCUGGGUACUAGGAAAGUGAUAUACGACUUUGGGAGUUCUGUGGACAGAAGUAGCAUUGGGGAGGGUCAUCUAGUGCACAAGGAUAUCCACGGGGAUGAUGUCGAGGCUGGAAGUGUUGAGCAGGAAGGCCCAUUAGAUCAUCUUUUCUGUUUCUCUUUCUUCCACCCAAGCUUAUUGGGAUGUUCUGAAUGUCUUUCGAACAACUCAUGAUUUUGCCUGACUUGAUUCCCUCUUCUACCAGCUCCCCUAUUUUUAACACAUCAUUGAAAGGCUUUCCCAAGGCGGGGAUUAAAUGACUAAAGUAGGUGGGCCCCUGGGCUUGCAGGAAAAGCUCAACAAUUUCUUCUUUACCAAUCGAGGUAUUGACUCGAGCAACUUUCUCCCUCCAUCUGAGCCCAAACUCCCUAAAGCUUUCCUCCGGCUUCUUUUCCAUUUUAGACAGGGAUGAGCGGUCUGGGUAACACCUAAUCUGUAUUGAAAGCACCGAACAAAAUCUUGAGCCAUGUCACCCAAUGUAGGCCACUUACCAACAUCUUGAUGAUUAUGACAUUCCAAAGCUGCCCCAGUCAGGCUCUCACUGAAAUAUGCCAUUAACAAAUCAUCUUUCUUGCCAACACUUCUCAUUUCACUACAAUAAUCCCUCAAAUGGGCUAUUGGAUCUCCACACCCAUCAUACAAGUUAAACUUUGGCACUUUUAACCCCGCAGGUAGACGAACGUCGGGGGACAUAGACAAUUCUUUGUAAGACAUGCUACCCUGGU